CCUCAUGAUCCAGACAACAGAGGGAGAACUCAGAAGUUGUCCAGAAAGGAGCCAUUUUUCCAAGAGACACAUGAUUUUGUGCGGGUUGAGUUCCUAGUUUUAGUGCCAGAAAAACAAAAAUUUUUAAAGGUGAAGACUCACCUUGCUGACGUGAGAUUUUCCUUGUGCUAAAAGUCCUGAUCUUCAUUCUUUUAUGGUUUGGCAGGGCUGAUCUUACCGUUAGAGGAAAGAGUGUCUCAUGGUUGCAGGAGCUGAGCCAAAAACUCCACUGACCAAACCCAACACUGCUCUUCCCCAGGCACGAUGCCUGCAUUCCACGUUUACAGAGAGUUCUCACUGUGGGUUCCACUGAUGAGUCUAGGAGCGCCCUGUUGAAAUUCAAAGUUAUCAAGUGGGGUGGGUGUGGGGAAGGAAGAGGGCAUCAAACAAUUCUCAGACAUCACUACUUGAGACAUUAGGUUAACAGAUAAUAUCCUAGAAUUUAUCUGCCAGGGUUCUAAGGUGUUAACCUCAGAACCCGUAGCUUUACUGGGAUAGGGAGCACAGAGAGGAGUUACAGAAGGCUUGUGUCAGAGGAUGCAUCUUGAUCAGAUGACAUAUUCCAUCAGGGACACCAGAACCUUUGAGGACAUCAGAGUCAGAGCUGUGUCCAUGAUGACUCAGUGGACUCAGCAGCAUGGCAUGCAUGGUGGGACUCCUCAUGGUCACCCUGUGGAACUAGAAGAGACAUGGUCUAGAGCACUGGAAGUUCAGCUCCAGGAGGGCGGGGCUUUUUCCAGUUUGUUUGCCGCUCUGCCUGCAAUACCAGGAACAAGGCUUAGCGCAUGUGCACAAAUACAGUUGUCCUUGUGACGUGUCCACUUGAAUGACCUCAGAGAUCUCAACACUCACAAACGAAACUGGGUCUCUUGAUUCCUCUGCCAACCCCCCCUGAAACUUGUUCCACUCUGGACCUCUCCAGCUGAGACCAGGAUGCUGAUAUCCACACAGCUGCCAAGCCAGAAACCUCAUUUAAGCAUUUUUAUUCAAAUAUAGUCUACAGAGCAUAAAAAGCGUAAAAUGGAUGCAUCUGAAGCAUACAGUUCAAGAAAUUUCUACUUAUGAAUACACUUGCGAUCAUUUUCAAGAUGCCAGAAGUUUUCCUUGUGACCUUCUGAGAGUCACUGAUUCCUCCUUUUCCAUAUCUGAAUCUUCACCAAGUCCUGACUGUUGUUCCUCCAAAAUUUUCCUUGAACUUUUUCACUUUUCUCCACCACAAUCAUCAAUCUCUAAUAACUUCUCUCCUCACUUCCACCUUUACCAGUUCCUUACCUCUACUGAACGAUCUUUAAGAAAUCAUCACCCUGAUCAUUGCACUUCCCUUCCUCAUCAACUUCCCUUUACACUUAGAGUAAAAUGGAAACUCUUUCUUGAGUCUUACAGUGAAUGCCCUUCAAAAGUAGUCCCUUGAAACCCUCCAACCUCUGCCUCACUCUGUUCCAAACAUCCUAAUCCCUCUUCCUCUUCCAGUUCCUGGAAAAUGCCCUGGGGCCUUUUGCAUGUGCUGUUCCUUUGGUAUGAAUGAUUUUCCUCUUCUUUCUUCCUCACUCCCACCCUACUUCCACUCCACACUCAUACCCUUAGGGGUACAUUAUCUUCACAUGGUUAGUUCCUUCUCAUCCUUCUUUCUCAGAUUAAAUAUCACCUGGCCAUAAAGAUUUUUCCUGCCCCAAAUCUAAAGCACAGCUCCCCAGUUACUCUCAGAGAGUUAUGUCUUUUUCCUUUACAGCAAUUUGCGAUUUAUGUAUUUAGGAGUUGCUUUUGGUUGUGUAUUGUCUAACUUCCCUGCUAACGGAAGCUCUUAGGUAAGCUCCAAGGAUAUUAUUUCAUUCCCUCCUGCUAGCAGCUAACAAUGCAGCUGGCAUACAGUAAAAGUAUUUAGAAAAUAAUUGCUAAAUGAAUGAAUAAAUCAAUGAGUGUG